GAGCAAAACCGCCUCCCCCAAACUUUACCUCUGGUCUCCCCCUGCUGGGCCACAAACCGACCCCUCACCCCAGCAAAGCUGGUGGCAGAUGUGUGACAGUCUCUCCCAAAUGUUCAGCAGGGGCAGCAGAGGAAACCACCCAGCCUUCACUUUUGCUUAUUGCCUGGCCUGAUCUGCAGAGGUCUCUGCAUGGGCUAUUAAAAUGCCUUCUCUUUUUUUCUUGUCUCUACCUCCAUCUCCACCUGCUUUUACUCUUUAUCUGUUCUCCUCUCAUUUCCUUUUGUCUUCCUAUGUUUAUUUUCUUUUGUCCUCUCUUCCGUUAUCCCACUUCCAAUCCUUGUCACAUUAUUUCUCACUGUGCCAUCUCCAUCAGUUCCCUCUUCCCUCCUUUCCCUCUUUAAUUUUUACUCCCUGCCCUUCCCUGUCAGCUUUUUCCAUUUCACCCCUUGCCAAUUCAAGUACAGAUCAGCCAAAUUGCACUUAUUUUUUGCAUAGUUUUGUAUUCAGUCCAAGGCAGUUAAACCUUACAUGAAGAAUUUCACUAUGUGUUUCAGUGACACGCUUGAACUCUCAUCCAUGCUUCUGUGAUACCCCCCACUAUUCACAGUGUCUCAACUUGACAGUUUGAACAGAUGGCCUAGUGAUAUGAAACUAUGUGCAAUGAACUGUACCAGCACUGAGGAAGAGUUUUAUGCAAUUGCACUUUAACAUGGAUUUCAAAUUUGCUCAUCGACUUUAAACCCCCUCCCCCCCAUUGCCAUUUAAAGAACAGUCAGACUGGGCAAUAUUCUCCAGAAUAAUGCAGU